rnacentral:lncRNA from 1 species
AGAAAGAAAACGACUGGAAGCCAAGCAACGGGAAGAUAUCUGGGAAGGCAGAGACCAAUCUGUGGUUUGAACAUCACUUACUCAAAGGAAUGAAUCCAUGGAUUAGGAUGUGUUUGAUAUUCUUGAGACAAGAGGAUCUUUCCAGAGCUGUGCACAUGCAGAUGAGCAUGUUAAAGAAAACGGGAACAAGACAGAAGACUGGAGGGCUUAGAGAGAACGAGCAGUCCAGUCCUCACUCCUGAAUUCAGACCUGUCCACUGGAGUAGAGAUGUUAACAGGCACUGUCGGAGGAAGGAAAAUGGAAGAAGUGGCUUUCUAAGAGUCCUGUGUGGAGCAGGCCAUGUUAGUGUGGGUCCCGCCUCCAGGAAGUCUGAAGCAAAUGUAAAGCAAAACAGAGGAUUCGAGCCUGCAGUGACAGGAGUUGGAGGUCCAUGGCAGGGUGUUCCUCAGUACUUCAGAGUUGAGCACUGCAGAAUUAGGACAGUAAGGGGAAGUGGAAGCAACUCCCAGACACGAGUGCCUGGUGCACCGGGCACGGGCAGAGACUACACUGCUGGCUGCAGAACUCCAAAGCCACUGACCCUUCGGCACAUCGUGGGCAUUCGGACUCCUGAGUUUGUACUAAGCUUGGUGUCUGGCACUGUUCCAGCUACACGGCAGCCAGGGGUCUGCCACCUACCUUCCUCAUGAAGACCAGUCCUAGGAGCUGAGUGCCAGCUCCAGUUUAAUCAGUGAUAUGUUGUGAGAGGGAGAAAUUAAAGGCUAUUUUAUAACAU